rnacentral:lncRNA from 1 species
UUUGAAAAUAGCUUUUAAUAAUUUAUAAUACAGCUCUAACUUUAAAAAAAGCAGAAGACAAACAAUAAAUAAAAAAAAUACAGGUUGUGCUUGACCGAGUGUCUGAGAUCCCAUUUUGCUCCAAUCUUCAAGCUGCUGCAUUUCAGCAACAUCCCUGCAUCUCAGCAGUAAACAAUCUGCAAAUAUUGCUGCCUUCAGACAGGUCACUCAGCACAUUUUAAAGCAGGCUCCUUGUUUACUGCUCAGAUUAUCUGCAAUGUGCUUUUCUGCUCCUCACAGUGUCAGGACCUGAUACACAGUUUGCAAAUAUUAUGUAAAGGAAAUAAUUCUCAAUGGCAAACAAUUACAACCGAGUGUAAAACAAGAGACUGGCUGGGGGUGGGAGAGCAGGGCAGAGGUUUGGUGUCUGUGUGUGUGUAUCUAUAAAGGGUUGGAGGGGGGAGGAAUGGGGAGUAAGGAAAAGCAACUGUAUAAAAGAGCAUUUUUACCAGACAAUGUCAUAGUCUCAGUGACAUGUAAUGAUGUUUAAAUACCUUUGCCAUUUUCCCCUGGUGAUUGCUGCACUGGGUGUGUUCUGUGGGCCUAUAGAGAUAUGUUUUUCAAAAAUCAGGAUGGAGUGAAUGCCGUUCGUUGUUCUGGCUGCAAAAUGUCAAACUGCAGUGGAAAGAAAUACAGCAUUGCAGUGGUGGUGCACUGAGGCCCCCGGUAGGAAAGCAGGAGCUAUUAAGUGGAAAAUUCCUGCAGAGGACGUGUUUCCAUUUCUAAUGCGAAGAAAGAGGGUGUUGUUUGAGGCUGGCAGGUCUGUGGAAAAUACAGAAAACACAGGGAAGAUGAGAAAAUGACCUCAUUGAACUCUGAGAACUUAAGCAAACAAACAGCUUCAGCCAACAUACCACAUUCUUCUGCCCAAACAACAAAUUGACCUGAUGGAUAAACCUCACUGAAACCACUGUUCUGAGACUGCAGGCACAGCUAUUGAGGACAGCCUAGAUGCAAGCCAGGUCUCAUUUCCAAAGCACAGAGUGGAUUAAAAGUAAAGUACAACCAAAAAGAAGACCUGGAAAUCUGAAAAUAUGCAGAAUAACAAUCCAGCAAAGAAUGGAGGAUUCCUGCUGCUUCCCAGUAGUGCUGCUCCUAAAGCGACUUAAAGGAAAAGAUUCACCAAGGAGGGGAAGCAACCAAGGGGAGUUUAGAGGAAGACAUCUUCAUCACCUAGUAAAAUCUGUUCAGUCAGCUCCAGCUAAUGUGCCUCCCAAGCUGUAAAACAAAAAUGGAUUAUGUGUAGUAGUUCUAUAAGACCAGCAUGAUACUCCAAGUAGUUUCCCAUUAGCAUAAAUAUAAGGUUAUCAUAGAAAAAUGUUGCUGUAAAUCUUCACAAUUUAGCAUUUUAACAUUUUUCCUAAUGCUUUCUAUGAACAAAGUGAUGAAGGGAGGAGAUAAGUCCCAUGCUGGGCAUGAACACUGUAACUAAGCUUUCACUGUCACACCUCUAUGGCACACAAGAAGGAAAUAAACCACCAGGAAAUAUCA